GAUGAACGCUGGCGGCGUGCUUAACACAUGCAAGUCGAACGGAAAGGCUCCUGCUUGCAGGGGUACUCGAGUGGCGAACGGGUGAGUAACACGUGGGUGAUCUGCCCUGCACUUCGGGAUAAGCCUGGGAAACUGGGUCUAAUACCGGAUAGGACGAUGGUUUGGAUGCCAUUGUGGAAAGUUUUUCGGUGUGGGAUGAGCUCGCGGCCUAUCAGCUUGUUGGUGGGGUAAUGGCCUACCAAGGCGUCGACGGGUAGCCGGCCUGAGAGGGUGUACGGCCACAUUGGGACUGAGAUACGGCCCAGACUCCUACGGGAGGCAGCAGUGGGGAAUAUUGCACAAUGGGCGCAAGCCUGAUGCAGCGACGCCGCGUGGGGGAUGACGGCCUUCGGGUUGUAAACUCCUUUCGUCAGGGACGAAGCGAAAGUGACGGUACCUGGAUAAGAAGCACCGGCUAACUACGUG
rnacentral:rRNA from 1 species